rnacentral:rRNA from 1 species
UACGUAGGGCGCAAGCGUUGUCCGGAAUUAUUGGGCGUAAAGAGCGUGUAGGCGGCCAGGUAGGUCAGCUGUGAAACCUCGAGGCUCAACCUCGAGCCUGCAUUCGAUACUGGGCGGCUAGAGUCUGGUAGGGGGAUCUGGAAUUCCUGGUGUAGCGGUGGAAUGCGCAGAUAUCAGGAGGAACACCGGUGGCGAAGGCGGGAUCCUGGGCCAGUACUGACGCUGAGGAGCGAAAGCGUGGGGAGCAAACAGG